rnacentral:rRNA from 1 species
UACGAAGGGGGCUAGCGUUGUUCGGAAUCACUGGGCGUAAAGCGCACGUAGGCGGAUGUGUCAGUCAGGGGUGAAAUCCCGGAGCUCAACUUCGGAACUGCCUCUGAUACAGCACGUCUUGAGUCCGGAAGAGGUGGGUGGAAUUCCACGUGUAGCAGUGAAAUGCGUAGAUAUGUGGAGGAACACCGGUGGCGAAGGCGGGUCUCUGGGCCGAUACUGACGCUGAGGAGCGAAAGCGUGGGGAGCGAACAGG